rfam:Batrachochytrium dendrobatidis JAM81 unplaced genomic scaffold BATDEscaffold_6, whole genome shotgun sequence.
GCUUCCGUGGCGCAAUUGGCUAGCGCGUCUGACUGUUAAUCAGGAGGUUGGUGGUUCGAGCCCACCCGGAAGCG